GGCCCGUUAGCUCAGUGGGCUACAGCGUCGUGCUAGUAACGCGAAGGUCAUGGGUUCGAUCCCUCCACGGGCCA